rnacentral:misc_RNA from 1 species
UUUCCGUAGGUGAACCUGCGGAGGGAUCAUUAAAGAAAAUAUGCCCUUCGGGGUAGACCUCCCCCCCUUUGUUUAUAUUACCUUUGUUGCUUUGGCAGGCCCGACUUCGGACCACCGGCUUCGGCUGGUCAGUGCUUGCCAGCGGACUCAAAACUCUUAUCACUAAUGUCGUAUGAGUACUUUAUAAUAGUUAAAACUUUCGACAACGGAUCUCUUGGUUCUG